GCCGGACGUGGUGGCGUGCCCCUGUAAUCCCAGCUACUCAGGAGGCUGAGGCGGGAGAAUUGCUUGAACUCAGGAGGCCGAGGUUGCAGUGAGUCACACCACUGCACUCUAGCCUGGGUGACAGAGUGAGACUCCGUCUCAA
rnacentral:SRP_RNA from 1 species